ACGCUCGACACCUACGGGAGGCAGCAGUAGGGAAUCUUCCACAAUGGGCGGCAAGCCUGAUGGAGCAACACCGCGUGAGUGAAGAAGGGUUUCGGCUCGUAAAGCUCUGUUGUUGGAGAAGAACGUGCGUGAGAGUAACUGUUCACGCAGUGACGGUAUCCAACCAAGAAAGUCACGGCUAACUACGUGCCAGAAGCCGCGGUAAUCUGAGCGGGCUGGCAAGGC
rnacentral:rRNA from 1 species